AUAGCCUUUAAUCUAUGUCCGGAGAGACAUGCAAGGUUCAGUCUUCAUACAGAAGAACAGAUUUUCCCUUUGCACUUUGCUAACCUUGCCCUUUUCUGGGUAAGGUUUUCUUUAUU
rfam:Streptococcus sp. TA 26, complete genome.